AAGCCUUGACAUCAUGUUAGGGGUGAAUAAGAAGACCCUGCAAGGGUCAAGAAAAGUGGGUUUAAAGUGCCUUGGAUAUUAUGUGUGCUCAUUUAGAGAAGCUGCCUACCAGAUCUACCUGUCACUGCUGUGACAAGGGGAUCUCUAUGUACCACAGCUCCAAUUGUACAGAGAAACAGAUGUGGCAUGGUGACACCAUCCCCAGCAGUGCAAACAACUGCCUGAUGUCAACUGCAAGCCUAACUCUGUGGAACCAUAUUGCCCAAAACAGGCCCUCAGAGAAACCACACACAUACAGUAGGAGUCUGUACCCCUCAACAGCCCUCUGAAAACAGAAAACCACAAGAGCUCAUUUGGAGUAUUAGGGACCUAGUAGCACAUUGUGUCUAUUAAAAUGAUUUCAAGACUGGGAGAAAUCAGUCUUAUAAUUUAUGGUUAUUAUGGUGAGUUGCUAGAAGAAAAACUAACUUAUGGUACUACUAAUAGGUUGUUUUGAAAUCAUUAGCCAUUUGAUAUUCAGUAGAAGAAAUUUUACAUAAAGACAGCCUUGGAUAAUUGAGUUUUUGUUCCUAACUUGUGUUAACAGAACCUGAUAUUUAUGAUCAAGAUUCAAGACUCAAUCUUAUAUUCCUAAUCCAAGAAGCCAUAGAAUUCUGAGAGAUUCAGUGGUUUUCCCAAGUUCACAUAUUUACAGGUAGCACCAAGGCCACUGUUUUUGUUAGAAUUUUCUUUUGCUGCGAUGAAAUAUCAUGACCAAAACCAACUUGGGGAGAAAAGGGUAUAUUUUAUUUUAUAACUCCUAAAUAACACUCCAUCACUGAAUGAAGUCUUGACAAGAAUGGAAGCAGAAAACAAAGAGAAAUGCUGUUUACUGGCUUGUGCUUCUUCAUGACUUAUGGCUUAUUUAGCCUUUCUCAUACCACCCAGGACCAUUUGUCCAGGGGCACCACUGUCCCCAGCGGGCUUGCCCCUCCUACAUCAAUUUUUAAAAAUAUUUUUAUCAUAUAUUUUCUUCAUUUACAUUUCAAAUGCUAUCCCGAAAGUCCCCUAUACCCUCCCCCCACAUCAAUUAUUAAUCAAGAAAAUGCACUACAGACUUACCCACAGGCCAAUCUGAUGGAGGCAUUUUUUCAACUGAGGUUCCUCUUCCCAAAGGACUCUAUCUUGUGUCAGGUUGAUGUAAAAUUAGCCAACACAUCCACUAUAGCCACUUUGACUGAGAGCAGUGAUUCUUAGCUGGUCACAGUUUUAACCUCCAGGGAUCACCAGAUAAUGAUUAGAGGCCAUUUGUUGUUGUUGUUGUUGUUGUUGUUGUUGUUGUUAUAGUAGGAAGAGAGUUAGUCUUUGUCUCUGUCUCUGUCUCUCUCUGCCUCUCUGUCUCUCUCUGUCUCUGCCUCUCUCUGAACCUCCCAGGUGGAAGCUAGUGUGACACAAAUUCCUGCCAUAUGCAAAAUGUCACUCAUCUCUGCAGUGUCACUUUUAAUUGCAAAAGCUUACAGGCAGACACAUAAAUUCUCUCACCAAUACACCCUUUCUCAAGGCCCCUACUACAAAGAUAAACUUGCUCCUGUGUUAGUCUAACAUGUUCUUAUGAACAAAAUCAAGAGCAGCAAAAAUAAUAGAUCUGAAAGUUUUCUAUGACCUUUCACUUCCAUUUCUACUCUUAACAGUUCCUUUCCAGUGUCAGCAAUGUGUUUUCAGCUCUGCUUUUACUCUGUGAUCCCAACCCAGUUACUGCCAACCUCACGUAGUUCUUACCAGUCCACCCCUUCUUAGCAUUAAUAUCUCCACUACGUAGCCCCUUCUCCAGAUCUUUUGUAUUUUAAGCUUGUCUCAAACUUUCUAUCUAGCAGAGGGUUUCCUUGGGCUUCUGAUUCUCCUGAUUCCAAGCCUGAGUUUUGGGAAUGUAUAUAUUGUGCUGUCAUUUCUGAUUUAAGGAUCACUUGGGAUUAAAGUCAGGGCUUCAUUCAUAACAGAAUAGCAUACCACCAACUAAACUACAGUCUGGGCUUCUCUAUUUUUACCUCAGAACUCAUAUGGUCUGUGUUCUGCUUCUCAGUCCCAGUCACUUUCUUCCUUUCUUAGUUGUCCAGUGGGACUAACAACAUAUGCCAAUGCACAGAGACCACAUUGGGGGAAUACAUGCAGUAGCAUGCUGCAGGCACUGAGUAUCUGGAGACAAAGGGGACAAUUUUUCUGCAGCUGAAAUAUUGUAAAGAUGAUUAACCUAAGCUAUUUUUGAAUCUGAGCCAGAGUGCAGAAAAUACUUUCUACUCUGUGUGUUCUCUGUGUUCCAUUCACUGACCUGGGUGACCAGGACCGGCCAACCA
rnacentral:lncRNA from 1 species